ACCAGCAGCCACAUCACCCUGCAACUCACAACUGGCAGCCCACUGAAGCUCAGCAGGUGUGAGCCUGGUCAGUACCUGGAUGGGAGACCUCCUGGGAAAAACUAAGGUUGCUGCUGGAA
rnacentral:rRNA from 1 species